rnacentral:misc_RNA from 1 species
GAUCCACUUGCUCUUGCCACAACCUAUAUUUACAGUCACAAUGUUCAGAACAAUCGAGUACCAGAAACACAGAAAUUUAAGGAAAACACAUUAAAAAGAUACAAUACAACUACAAGCAAACUUAUAUCAUCACACUCAUCUUACUACGUAAGGCAUUCCCUUUAAUGCUUAUGCUGUUUCAAGCAAAUGAGCUUUUUUUAUACUUCUUUGAUUUGAUAGGUAAGAUUACUGCUGACCGACCUAUGUCAUGCAAUCGAUGGUAAAAAGCAACAUAUAGCACCAAGAAAAUUAAAGAAUAUGUUAUGCAAGUAUCACAUAAUUACAUCCAAUAUGAAAAAUGGCUUUUUUUCUUUAAAACACUUUUAAUUGACCAAAAAGAAGGCUUCUUCCAAACAAACCCUUCAAUAGGAGUUGAUAGGAGAGAGAGGGGAAAAAGA